AAAUCAGUGAAAAGCGAUCGAGAGCUCAAAAUUAUUCCUUGGAAGAUGUAUUAAAGCUUGUCGACAUCCUUCACGAUUUCAGAAGCAUAAUAGAGAACAAGUAAACGGAUGCAGUGUCAUGUAGUGAAAAGAACAAAGCAUGGGAGUAAGUAUGCGAUCUCUAUAAUUCACAAACAACAUCAAGCAGAACCAGUGAUGAGCAGCGACAGAAAUAUGACAGGCUAAAGAAAGAGACCAGAAAAUAUUAUGCUGCAUUAAGGCAGCAUAGGCACCAGACUGGCGGUGGGCCUUUUGUCCAACAUAAAUUUGUAAUUGUGUAUACAAAAAUACACAAUGUAAUUAAACUUCCUUCAGAUGGCCACACUAGUCAUUUUGAUUGUGACGCAACGUUUCUAGAGACUGCAACAACCAGCGACAACACAGGCGUCACGGAGUUUAAUUUGGCCGAUAAUUCUGAG